CCUACGUGAGGCAGCAGUGAGGAAUAUUGGUCAAUGGGCGCGAGCCUGAACCAGCCAAGUAGCGUGAAGGAUGACUGCCCUACGGGUUGUAAACUUCUUUUAUAAAGGAAUAAAGUGAGGCACGUGUGCCUUUUUGUAUGUACUUUAUGAAUAAGGAUCGGCUAACUCCGUGCCAGCAGCCGCGGUAAUCCGGAGGAUCCGAGCGUUAUCCGGAUUUAUUGGGUUUAAAGGGAGCGUAGAUGGGUUGUUAAGUCAGUUGUGAAAGUUUGCGGCUCAACCGUAAAAUUGCAAUUGAUACUGGCAGUCUUGAGUACAGUUGAGGUAGGCGGAAUUCGUGGUGUAGCGGUGAAAUGCUUAGAUAUCACGAAGAACUCCGAUUGCGAAGGCAGCUUACUAAACUGCAACUGACAUUGAUGCUCGAAAGUGUGGGUAUCAAACAGGAUUAGAUACCCGUGUAGUC
rnacentral:rRNA from 1 species